UACAGAGGUCUCAAGCGUUGUUCGGAUUCAUUGGGCGUAAAGGGUGCGUAGGUGGCGGGGCAAGUUGGAUGUGAAAUCCCGGAGCUUAACUCCGGAACUGCAUUCAAUACUGCCUUGCUAGAGUACUGGAGAGGAGAUUGGAAUUUACGGUGUAGCAGUGAAAUGCGUAGAUAUCGUAAGGAAGACCAGUGCGAAGGCGGAUCUCUGGACAGUUACUGACACUGAGGCACGAAGGCCAGGGGAGCAAACGGG
rnacentral:rRNA from 1 species